CCCCUAGAUGUCCUGGGCCGCACGCGCGUUACACUGAUGCAUUCAACGAGCUUAUAACCUUGGCCGAGAGGCCUGGGCAAUCUUGUUAACGUGCAUCGUGAUAGGGAUAGAUUAUUGAAAUUAUUAAUCUUGAACGAGGAAUUCCUAGUAAACGCAGAUCAUCAAUCUGCAUUGAUUACGUCCCUGCCCUUUGUACACACCGCCCGUCGCACCUACCGAUUGGAUGGUCCGGUGAAGCCUCGGGAUUGUGGUUCUUGCCGCUUUAUUGUGGCGUGACCGCGAGAACUUGUCUAAACCUUAUCAUCUAGAGGAAGGUGAANUCGUANCA
rnacentral:rRNA from 1 species